rnacentral:rRNA from 1 species
UACGGAGGGUGCAAGCGUUAUCCGGAUUUACUGGGUUUAAAGGGUGCGUAGGUGGGUUUUUAAGUCAGUGGUGAAAUCCCGGAGCUCAACUCCGGAACUGCCAUUGAUACUAUUAACCUUGAAUUCUGCGGAGGUUAGCGGAAUAAAUCAUGUAGCGGUGAAAUGCUUAGAUAUGAUUUAGAACACCGAUUGCGAAGGCAGCUAACUACACAGAUAUUGACACUGAGGCACGAAAGCGUGGGGAGCGAACAGG